AAAGUAGGAGACGAGAGUUAUCCGGAUUUACUGGGUGUAAAGCGCGUGCAGGAGGCUCGAUAAGUUGGAUGUGAAAGCUCCCGGCUCAACUGGGAGAGGUCGUUCAAGACUGUCGGGCUUGAGAGUGGUAGGGGAAGGUGGAAUUCCGGGUGUAGUGGUGAAAUGCGUAGAUAUCCGGAGGAACACCAGUGGCGAAGGCGGCCUUCUGGACCACAUCUGACGCUCAGACGCGAAAGCUAGGGUAGCAAACGGG
rnacentral:rRNA from 1 species